UACGUAGGGUGCAAGCGUUAAUCGGAAUUACUGGGCGUAAAGCGUGCGCAGGCGGUGAUGUAAGACAGGUGUGAAAUCCCCGGGCUUAACCUGGGAACUGCAUUUGUGACUGCAUCGCUGGAGUGCGGCAGAGGGGGAUGGAAUUCCGCGUGUAGCAGUGAAAUGCGUAGAUAUGCGGAGGAACACCGAUGGCGAAGGCAGCGUCCUGGCCGCUUGCUGACACUGAGGCACGAAAGCUGGGGGAGCAAACAGG
rnacentral:rRNA from 1 species